rnacentral:rRNA from 1 species
UACGGGGGGGGCAAGCGUUGUUCGGAAUUACUGGGCGUAAAGGGCCUGUAGGCGGCCAACUAAGUCGGAUGUGAAAUCCCCAGGCUUAACCUGGGAACUGCAUCCGAUACUGGAUGGCUUGAAUUCGGGAGAGGGAUGCAGAAUUCCAGGUGUAGCGGUGAAAUGCGUAGAUAUCUGGAGGAACACCGGUGGCGAAGGCGGCUUGCUGGGCCAGUUCUGACGCUGAGGAGCGAAAGCGUGGGGAGCGAACAGG